AAUCAACGCUGGCGGCGUGCCUAACACAUGCAAGUCGAACGAGAAAGUGGAGCAAUCCACAAGUAAAGUGGCGCACGGGUGAGUAACACGUGACUAACCUACCCUUGAGUGGGGGAUAACCUAGGGAAACCUGGGCUAAUACCGCAUAAUACCUAUGGGUCAAAGGAGCAAUUCGCUUUUGGAGGGGGUCGCGGCAGAUUAGUUAGUUGGCAGGGUAAUGGCCUACCAAGACGAUGANCUGUAUCCGGCCUGAGAGGGCGCACGGACACACUGGAACUGAAACACGGUCCAGACUCCUACGGGAGGCAGCAGUGGGGAAUUUUGCGCAAUGGGGGAAACCCUGACGCAGCAACGCCGCGUGGAGGAUGAAGACCCUUGGGUCGUAAACUCCUUUCGAUCGGGACGAUAAUGACGGUACCGGAAGAAGAAGCCCCGGCUAACUUCGUGCCA
rnacentral:rRNA from 1 species